UGGCUAAUCUUCCAGAGUUAGAGAAAUAAGAAACUACUGAGGGAAAGAAAAAUAAAAAGGAAGGAGAGAAACAUUAUUCAUACAGGAGAAAUUUAUAGAACGAAGGAUGGAAAUUAGGGAUUCAAAUAACUGCAAUCAGGAUCGAGGGUAAUUUAAGAGACAAAAUUGGGAGUUGAUUUGAUUAUAUGUCAUAAUCAGGAAUAAGAUAUGAGUGAAGUAUUUGGUUGA